rnacentral:rRNA from 1 species
CCUACGGGAGGCAGCAGUGGGGAAUUUUGGACAAUGGGGGCAACCCUGAUCCAGCCAUUCCGCGUGAGUGAAGAAGGCCUUCGGGUUGUAAAGCUCUUUCGCAAGGGAAGAAAACUUAUGAUCGAAUAAAUCAUGAGGUUGACGGUACCUUGAUAAGAAGCACCGGCUAACUACGUGCCAGCAGCCGCGGUAAUACGUAGGGUGCGAGCGUUAAUCGGAAUUACUGGGCGUAAAGCGUGCGCAGGCGGUUUUGUAAGUCGGAUGUGAAAUCCCCGGGCUCAACCUGGGAACUGCGUUCGAAACUGCAAGGCUAGAGUGUGUCAGAGGGGGGUAGAAUUCCACGUGUAGCAGUGAAAUGCGUAGAGAUGUGGAGGAAUACCAAUGGCGAAGGCAGCCCCCUGGGAUAACACUGACGCUCAUGCACGAAAGCGUGGGGAGCAAACAGGAUUAGAUACCCUGGUAGUCCACGCCCUAAACGAUGUCAACUAGUUGUUGGUAGAGUAAAAUCUAUGAGUAACGUAGUACUACGCGUGAGUAGACGCCGUGGGAGGUACGGUCGCGAAGUAAGUUAAACGUUACGAAAGUAAGUUAGUUAGGCGNGAGAGNGCGACGGACGACGACGAGGGAGGAGG